UACGUAGGGGGCAAGCGUUGUCCGGAAUCAUUGGGCGUAAAGAGCGUGUAGGCGGCUCGGUAAGUCCGCUGUGAAAGUCCAGGGCUCAACCCUGGAAUGCCGGUGGAAACUGUCGAGCUCGAGUCCGGAAGAGGCGAGUGGAAUCCUGGUGUAGCGGUGAAAUGCGCAGAUAUCAGGAGGAACACCGGUGGCGAAGGCGGGUCUCUGGGCCGAUACUGACGCUGAGGAGCGAAAGCGUGGGGAGCAAACAGG
rnacentral:rRNA from 1 species